UUGAGUGACAGAUUGUCAAGGUAUGUUCGGUAAUUAUAUAUAUUUGUGCAAUGUUUAUGUAUCCUCACAUUUAUUCUAUUAUUAUGAAUUUCACAUAUGCGUAAUAUAUUACUUUCACUUCUCCAGAUUUCCAUCCAUGUGAGUUGGCAAGCCUUGGUAUGAUCACCUGUGCGGAUUUACAUAGCAGGUUAUUUACAUUUCUGGUUCUCAAGCAUGGUGCGUGGAAGGCCUGAGAAAAAUCAGCUAGCUCCAGUAAGAAGGGAGCAGGAUUUCAAGUAUUUUGGACAAAAUUUAGUGCUGGGUCCCUUGGUCCAAGACCUUAAAGAUCUUGAGAGGAAGGCUUUGCCAAACAUUGAUGAAGAGACCCAAGUUAUUUCUACACUAAAGAAGUGUGGUGUAGAAUGUAAAGGAGACUUGCAGUAUGUACGUCAAGAGGACAUUGAUGGCCUCUUGCCAAUUAUUCAACUUCGCAAGCUAAUGGAGGCAUUUAGAUUAGAGACAGAGACCGUGUUUCUGCAGUUAAUUUCUUGCCCUUCACUGAUGCCUGGCCCAUCUUUACAUACCAGCCCAUAACCAAGUGCUUUCUUGUCAUCUCUUUCUGGCUCAUCACCUCACACAAGCACAUCUUCAAUUUCAUCAUCCCCUGAGAUGGAUUGUACAGGCCCAAUAACUCUUAUCUUCUUUCGCUGUGUCCAAAUCAUGGCCUGAGACAUUUCAGUUCCCUUUGGAAAAAAUGCCCCAAGAAAUCCAUUCAGCAGUUUCUGCUGGGAGGAGGUGCCAAAUGGUAAGAAUCCUAGUGGAUGAGAUGUGCAAAUAUGAGCUUAACCCUUCACGAUCACAAUGUGUUAUAAUCUGCAAAAACAUAAUCAACCAACCAACAGCUUUGCUGAUAUGUUCCCUGAGGGCACCUUAAUGGCUGGAAGUUACUGUUCUCUCUUCAAUCAGGUGAAAACUCAGACUGAGAAUGUAAACCGUGAAAGCACAUUCACACACCAUAGGGUUUCAUCACAUUCUGCACACAAGAGGGGAAUGUGUAAGAUUUCAGCCUCAGAUCCCACCUGAAGAAACUGAACAGACAUUGGAAAACAAGCGACUGAGACUAGAGGAAAUUUACAAAAAGGAGGGCAUGGGUGGAGUAGGAGUGAGCAGAGGUGAUGAAUACAAUGGAGGCUACAUACUGCUGUCAAUGACAGUAUAUAAAUGCAUCACCAUCCCCCUCCAUUGAAGAAGUCAGGAGCCAAUGGCCUUAUCUUUUCCAUUUAAAGUCCAUCUUUACUCAUUUUCAACUCCUAACUGAUAUUAAUGUUCUGCAUUCCCUGGAGCUUUCCUUGGAUCAAAGUGGAAGAUCAUAAAAUCAAAUUAUAAAAAUGUCAAAGCUGUGUUCUCUCAGUCUCAUGCUGAGGAUGUUGAGGUGGGACUCCGUGUUGUGAAGUUACUGAUGGCACACUUUAAAGAAAUCACAGAAGGACUACAGUUUUUUCUGAUGCAUCUGCCAGUGCAGUAGACAUUGAGAGGACCUUUAGUUUACCUGCAAGUCCUCGUCUCAUACUGCUUGUGUACUACAUUUUCAAUGUACAGUACCAGGUACACUGGAAUUCAUUCAGAGGCGUUUUAUUGGUAUAAACCCAUAAAGGGGGUCUAAGACCAGCUGGGACAAAAUGUUCUCAAAAAGGACUGGGAAAAUGGUCCUAAAGAAGACUGUCACAGUCAAUCCCAAUGUCUCCAACCUACUGAAGAAACUCAUAGACUUUGAAUGCAGUUUCAUUUAAAGAAGUCAGCAAUAAGUUCACAUUCUCUCUCAUACACACACUUACAUUGUCACCUUAGUCAAACAUGUGGUCACUCCAAUUCUCACAGUCUUUUGACACAAACUCUCAUGCAUUCAUUGUGACUGUCAUACUGACAUACAACUUAAAGGGCAAGUCUUGUUUUUGCUUAAUUUUUUUUUAGCUGAUUAUGUGAACAUUUUGUUCUUGAAUUUUAUUUCAGUUUGUAAUGCUGCCAUUUUAUUGUAAUUUUUGAUGCUGGAAUUUUGAUAUCUAAUGUGAGUUUUUCAGUUGAAUGUAAUAUGGCAAAACUCAUUGUUUCACAUAACUAAGAUAUGUGAAAUAAAUAAAAGAAUGUUUUAAAUAAAAACGUA